CACUCCUGCGGGAGGCAGCAGUGAGGAAUAUUGGACAAUGGGUGGAAGCCUGAUCCAGCCAUCCCGCGUGCAGGAAGACGGCCCUAUGGGUUGUAAACUGCUUUUAUCUGGGGAUAAACCUACUUACGUGUAAGUAGCUGAAGGUACCAGAAGAAUAAGCACCGACUAACUCCGUGCCAGCAGCCGCGGUAAUACGGAGGGUGCAAGCGUUAUCCGGAUUUAUUGGGUUUAAAGGGUCCGUAGGCGGACUGAUAAGUCAGUGGUGAAAUCCGACAGCUUAACUGUCGAACUGCCAUUGAUACUGUUAGUCUUGAGUAAGGUUGAAGUGGCUGGAAUAAGUAGUGUAGCGGUGAAAUGCAUAGAUAUUACUUAGAACACCAAUCGCGAAGGCAGGUCACUAAGUCUUAACUGACGCUGAUGGACGAAAGCGUGGGGAGCGAACAGGAUUAGAAACCCCGGUAGUCCCAUG
rnacentral:rRNA from 1 species